rnacentral:rRNA from 1 species
UACGUAGGGUGCAAGCGUUAAUCGGAAUUACUGGGCGGAAAGCGUGCGCAGGCGGUUCGUUGUGUCGGCGGUGAAAGCCCCGGGCUUAACCUGGGAAUGGCCGUUGAAACUGGCGAACUGGAGUGUGGCAGAGGGGGGUGGAAUUCCGCGUGUAGCAGUGAAAUGCGUAGAGAUGCGGAGGAACACCGAUGGCGAAGGCAGCCCCCUGGGCUAACACUGACGCUCAGGCACGAAAGCGUGGGGAGCAAACAGG